rnacentral:rRNA from 1 species
UACGUAGGGUGCGAGCGUUAAUCGGAAUUACUGGGCGUAAAGUGUGCGCAGGCGGCCGAGCAAGUCGAGUGUGAAAUCCCCGAGCUUAACUUGGGAAUUGCGCUCGAAACUACUUGGCUGGAGUGUGGCAGAGGAAGGUGGAAUUCCACGUGUAGCGGUGAAAUGCGUAGAGAUGUGGAGGAACACCGAUGGCGAAGGCAGCCUUCUGGGCCAACACUGACGCUCAUGCACGAAAGCGUGGGGAGCAAACAGG